rnacentral:tmRNA from 1 species
GGGGGUGAUCGGUUUCGACGGUGAAUGUCGAGCCAGGUGAAGCGGGUCGAGGAGGCGACGUCAGCUCGUUAACGCUCGUCGUAAACCCAUAGGUGCCAAAUCUAACCGCACCGACUUCGCACUAGCCGCCUAGAAGGCUAGGAGCGAGUCCGUCAGCCCGGGAGUGCUUCCGGCCCGGAUACUGGCGUCAUUGAGGGAGCCACCGCUCAGGUGUCCGUGUCACCCGGACCCUGCGUGUAUUCAGGUGACUGGGCCCGUCGGCAGCAUGCUUGCGUGACAGCCGGGGCCGAGAAAAGCAAAGCAAGCUGCACCCGGAGAAGCCCUGGUUCCCAUCCACCGGACGCGGGUUCGAUUCCCGCCACCUCCACCA